CCCAGCCAGCUUGCCUGGUUCGUACCUGAGAGGGGAAGUGUGGAAUGAGAAAUGGCAGGUGAAUCUGCCUAAUGGAAAGCUAAUUCCUGGGUUGAAAACAGCAUGAAGAAAGAAAAUAAAUAUAUAUAUUGUUUAGAAACAUUGAGGAACAUUGACAGAGGGACACUGAUUGACAGGCUAGCCCUGUGUUCGAGACUAAUGGUGAGUGCCUGAGAUGCAGGGAUACUGGGACCGGUCCAGCAGAGAUUGCAUGUUCUCACUCUUCUUGGGGAAAAUGAGAAAGCUGAGGACAAUAGUAAUCAGAUUAUUGUCUCCACCCUGAACGUACAUGCCUUUAAAAUUUGAAGGUUUUUCUCUUCAGUAACACACGUUGGAUACCUACAACAGUUUACUUUGUGAGCCAGCCACUAUUUCCACAGAAACAAAGCAUCUCGAACACAACAAGAGGAAAUGGAAACUUUGAUGUUUAGUAUGGGUGGUGAACACAAAAAGAACAGUGUGGUCAGACACCUGAACUUUUCUCAGAGCAUCAUGCAGAUGUCAUUUACCAACUUCCUAGCUCUUGUUAACUAAAGAAAAUGUCAGAUGGAUCAAAUACACAAACAUCAAAAUUCUGAGAAACUAUGAAAAUCAGAGCAAGCCUCGAAAUAAGGCAUUGAGUUUGGCAAAAACUAAAUGGACAUCCAUUAAUCUCAACAUUUGAAGGACAAGGCAGCUCUCAAGAGUGAGCAGGAAAACUUCUUUUAAUAGCGAGCCACA